rnacentral:lncRNA from 1 species
AAAUGUUUGGAAUGGUUGGAUACAAAACCAGUUGGGUCGAUUUUAUAUGUCAAUUUCGGAAGCGUCACAGUGAUGACAAACCAACAGAUGAUUGAGUUUGCAUGGGGACUCUGUAAUAGCAAUAAAGAAUUCCUAUGGAUCAUCAGACCUGAUGUUGUGAGAGGCGAAACUGCUGUAUUGCCAGAAGAUUUCUUGGAGAUGACAAAAGGGACAAGUAUGAUGACUAGUUGGUGCUCACAGGAAGAUGUCCUUUCACAUCCAGCCAUUGGUGGAUUUCUAACUCAUUGUGGUUGGAAUUCGACAUUGGAAAGCAUUUACUGUGGUGUUCCGAUGUUGUGUUGGCCCUUCUUUGCCGAACAACCAACCAACUGCCGGUAUUCGUGCAAGGAAUGGGGUGUUGGCUUGGAGAUAGACAAGGACGUGAAGCGAGCUCAAGUAACAAGUCUAAUCAUUGAGCUAAUGGAUGGAGAAAAAGGCAAUAGGAUGCGGAGAGAAGCACAGGGAUGGAAAGCCAAAGCUAUUAAAGCAACUCAAAAAGGUGGGACUUCAUUCAUCAAAAUGGAAAAGCUUCUUAAUGUCAUCUGCUGAUCACCUAAUGCAUCUUCAUUCUUCAUUUUUUAAACUUGCUUCUCCCUAUUACAUAAUACUUUUAACAGAAAAGAAUAAAAUUCUAUUUACCAAAAUACCAUUUCAGGCAUAUGAUCCGCGUGCCUCUAAACAAGUGGUGCUCUGAUAUGAACCUUGAUCACAGUUGGACUCAAUAUUAAAAUCAAGUGAACCUGAUAGUCGAGGGUGCUUUAGAUCAUCUGGAAGUUUUCUCUCUAGAUAUCCAAAGCAGAUAGCGACGGGAUCAAUCCCUGAUAUCGACUUUUAGCACUAGUAGGAAAUUCGAUGUUAAUCGUUCCAGUAGAGAGCUCGUUCCGGCAGGUUGAAGGACGGCCGAUUGCAGAUUCAGGCAUUCCGUUAUGGUGAGAAUGAGAUGACGGAGGUGUAGCAGGAAUUAUGGAGGAGAUGCUUAGGAUGUACAAUUUUAUGAGGAUUGUAUUCAAUAAUUGAUUUUUCAAUAAAAUUCUUACUACAUUUAUAAUAAAAGCCUUUAUGAAAUUUAACUAGAAAGCAGAGACUACUAAAUAAUUAUCCCAGUUUAUUCAAAAAAUAAAUAAUUAUCCCAAAACGCGAUCUGGUUCAACCAGCUAAAUCAGAACCAAUUCCGUAGUCACUCAUCCAAGCGGGCUUCCGACUGAUCCGGCUUGGUUUUGGAGGAUUAUCAAGACAGGGUUCGACGUCCACCAACGAUCUUGAAUCGUUGCCGUUGCCCCCUUCUUCAAUAUCGCCUGAACCCUCAUCUCUGGUGAUCGCAACAAUGUCUACUUAGGGUUAUAUUUACAGCCUCCACUGGGGAUUCUCCUUCUCUAUAAUGAGGAAUUUCAGCAGAUUCCUUCCCAUAUAGAGCCAUAAAGGGUGUCAUGCCCAAAGAUGGAUGGUAACUUGAAUUAUACUAUAAUAUUUCAGACCAUGGUAACAUUUUCAGCCCGUUUCUAGGAAAUUCAUAGCAGUAGGACCUCAAAUACAUUUUAAGGUUCUGUUAACCACUUCAGUUUGCCCAUCAGAUAUAUGCAGAAGAGAAAUUAAGCUUCGUACCACUGAGCUUGUGCAAUUCUGUUUGAAUGUAUAUAAUUAGUUUAAAGUGAUAAAUGGUUAGUUAUUUUAAAUCAAUUAGUUAUUGAUUUUUUAAUUAAUUUAAUUUAAUUAAGGUUUUAAUUAUGUUAUUUAAAUAAUUUUGUUUUAGGUUGGAUUGUCUUCGCCGCCGGUCAUCGAUCUCCCUGCCGAACUGUUUUUCCGCUGGUCAUCUCCCGGCCGGUGUUUUGAAGGUUUAUAAUUUUUAAAUUUAUGUGUUAUAUGUGUUAUAUGUAUGUUGUGUGUUGAUAUUUUUUGUAUUAUAUAUGUUGAUAUUUGUUGUAGGGUUUGCGGAUUUGGAAUUUAGGAUUUGUGGAUUUAUCGAAAGAUAUUUUGCGCUUUAUCUAUCAAGGUAAUGUUUUUAUUUAUUUUGAAUUAUUUCAUAUGAUAGUUAUUAAUUAGUUAAUAUAAUUUGCAUGUUUGAAAUUGGAAAAUGAAAUGUAUGUUAUUUGUGUAUUUUUAAAAUGAAUGUAAUAAUUUUAAUUAAUAUCAUGGAAUGAAUGAUAAUAAAAUGAAUUGAUAAAUUUAUAAAAUGAAAUACUUAUUUUGGUUUGCGUGACGAUGGGUUGACCUGAUCGUGAUCGAUAAGUAAUUAAGUGUAAAUCGGUCAUUUUUCACAUUCAAUUAUGUUUGAAUGAUCAAAUCUGUUUGUCUUAAAUAUCGAUGCAACAGACAAGGUUAAUAACCAUCCUAUUUUGAUUCAUUACAAAAGUGGAAAGGUAAAUUGGCUACAAGUUAGGAUUUUAAUAAAAGUAUUUUCGCAUCUUUUUUAAGGCCUUGGUGAUCUUAUUACUGACUCCAUCCAGGUUUUUUCUUUCAAAAUGCAGCAUCGAACUGGAUGUAUGAUUGCAAGUUACAGGAAAAUAAGGAACUGGGAUCUCUCCUGCGUGAUUGAUGAAUAUUGACUUUAUUCUGCUCCCAAAGAAAGAGUAGCUGAUUUGAUAUUUAUUCUGCUCCCAAAGAAAGCUGGUUUGAACGCAAAUGGUUCAUAAACGCGUGUCCAUAGAAUACGUCAACAAAAUUUAUCAUAGAUUCUAUUGGUACCAUGGACCGCGGACCGCGGCCCAUGGACCGAAUCGGACCAGCCGGCCCAGACGGACGGACGGGCGGGCAGACGACGGACGGGCGACGGACGGACGAGCGAAAGCGACGGACGACGGACGGACGAAAGGGGGGCGGACGGCCCCAGGCCCCCGGGCCUGCCAAGGAAGGGGGGAGUACUGUUGGUACCAUGGACCGCGGACCGCGGCCCAUGGACCGAAUCGGACCAGCCGGCCCAGACGGACGGACGGGCGGGCGGACGACGAACGGCCCAGGGACCGAAUCGGACCAGCCGGCCCAGACGGACGGACGGGCGGGCGGACGGACGGACGGAUGGGCCCGACCGUACGAGCCCACGAGGCCCAAUGACAACAAGUGAAGGCUAUAAAUACCUCCCCUGGUCCAACUGGGGAGGGGGUUGACAAUACUGGAGAGUGAAUACUUGGGAGAGUUGAGGGUGUGAGCUUACACCGACGAGCCCACACACCAACAGUAUAGUUUUAGUUUUAGUGCUAAAUAAAAACAAGGCUAAUUGAAACAUUAUACACAUUUUUUUAAAUACAUAUGUAUGAGGUUUGAUAUUUUUUUCGAUUUUAAAACAUUUUGUGUUUUCUAAAACACUUUUAUGUAUCACUAGUAAGGGUACUAACAAUUAUUUAAUAAAAUAAUUGAAACCAAAUUAAUUAAAUAAUAAUUAUAUUAAUAAAAAAAAAUUUAAUUAAUUAAAUUUUUUAAUAAAAUUAUAAAAAAUUUAUGGGGACUAGGGUUAGGGAACAAAAAAAAUUUGCGAGGAAUAUUUUACCGGCGUCUAAGUCGCCAGGAAGACCAACAAUUUGUUCUUAGGAAAUUUAUACCGGCGGCCCGGCCGCCAGUAUUAUUACAUUAGUAAUCAGAAUCAGCAAAUCUUUACAGACGGCCGGGCCGCCAGAAUAAUACAUUUUUGACGACAUCAUUACUACCGCUGACAUAUUGGCGGCCGGGCCGCCAGAACUACAUCUGCUUGACAAACUAUUGUUUCUACUCCAACAAAUCAAAGUCCUCCUUUUCUUCCAACGUACUCCACCCUCUCUCACUCAUAACGUUAUAUGUCAAAUUUGUGCUCGUGUUGGUCACACUGCUAAAACCUGUCCAGAUCGUCAAAGUUUUGCCUAAACUGCCGCAUGUAGUUUAGCUGAUGCAUGGAAUGUCUUCGGUUUCUUUUAAUGAUCGUCUGUGGUGCCUUGAUUCUGGUGACACACCAUAUGACACCAGCCCAAUCUGCAUUCACACAAACUCGACAAUAUAAUGGUAUAUAUAUAUGGAUUCAAUUAUUAUUGGUAAUGACACUCGUUUAUCAAUUAAGUGCAUUGGCACUGUUUCACUCUCAACACCUAAGGGUCGGAUACUUCUUCAUGACGUUCUAUAUGUACCUGGUCUUUGCAAAUCUCUUUCUAUACGAUGUCUAUCUAAAGAUUUACAAUGCUUUCUUGUUUAUGACCAUCUACAUGCGUGGAUAAGCAUCUUUAGAGGAAACAAUUCUACGUGGCAAUAACUCCGGCGGGUUGUAUCAUCUUUAGAGGCACCAUCCUAGUGUUCCAAAAAUGUUUAUUGGUGUUAGGGCCUCUCCGGUAAUUUGGCACCACAAUUUAGGCCACACUUUUGAAGCUACUUUGUCUACGCUUCUUCCUACUCUUUGUUACAAGGUGAAAGAUUAAUUUAAUCAGAGUGAUUCAUCUUACUAACGUGGUUGCCUCAGAUCCGUGUUAGUGACGGAUAUCCGAGACCGAGAGCAACGGGAUACACCCCUGAAAUUGAGGCUUAGCCUCCCCUCUUCACAAUUAAGUUCAGAGAAACAAGUGCUCAAUACGGCAAGUGGUACAGGCGCCUGCAGAUCGUCCCACAGCUCGUUGAUCGCGUCUAUUUCAGCAAUUCCGAUAAUAGACGCAAGAUUUGGGGCAUAGGAUGAUGAUGAAAUGUACUCGGCGUUUUGGCCGGAGGUGAUCGAGAGAGGUGUUGGAUGGAAGGUGACAAGAUUGGAGUUUAGGAAUUUGAUACGUUUUCAUUCAUGUAAAUGAAAUUAUAUAUGUUUGGUACAAAUUGUAAAACUUAAAUUAUUUGGGGUCUCUUAUGCAAUAAUUUAAAUAAAAGAGAAUGCAAUAAGCCAACAACUUUAAUAAUUUUUUCACGACGGAAGUCGUGAAAUCCCUAAGCCAUCCCGGUUUACGGCUUGCUCUUCUCGGUCCGCGACUUGUCUCCGGUCCAGGUUCGUUCAACGGUUGCGGAUCGUCAUCUUCCUCGUCGUACCCAAUUUUAGAGAUUAACGUUUCCCUUAAUGCCUUGGCAUCACUGCUCACCGCCUGUAGGUCAAUUUCUCCAUCCGGCCACGUAAUAUCGCCAUCCCCUUGAGGCUCGACAUCGUCCCUGAUGUUGAUUGAAGGAAAGGAUAUCUUCAAGUCGUCGUUGAACUCCCAAGAAGCAUCUUCCGGCACUGCACCGUUCCACACGAUGAGUGACUGAUUUCUUUGUUCUCCCCUUGUAAUAUUUUUCUCCUUUAAUAUAGCAGUUGGGUAAAUUAGUGGCUUGUUUUCUACUGCAAUAAUUGGCUGAAUUUGAUUGCUGUUGACAGGAGCUUGACCAAAUAAUUUUUUUAAUUUGGAAACAUGAAAGGUAGGAUGGAUUUUACUGUCCUCUGUAAUUGCAAUCUGUAAGCGACCUCAUUCACCUUCCUUUCAAUUUUAUAAGGCCCAAAAUAACGUUUACAGAAUUUGUGAUGCAUUCGAUUUGCCACCGAUUGUUGUCGAUAUGGUUUUAAUUGAACAAGUACCCAGUCCCCCACUUUGAAUUCUAUUUCUGUCCUCUUUUUAUCUGCUUGAAUUUUCAUUCUUGUUUGCGCUAACAGUAGGUUUUUCUUGAUUGAGGCUAGUGUGUCCUCUCUAAUCUGUAAUUCUUCAUCUACUGCUUGUAUGGUGGACUGACCUUCACUAUAAUGAGGAAUUUCAGUUGCCUCUUUACCAUAUAGGACCUUAAAUGGUGUAGCUCCCAAUGAUGAGUGAUAUCCGGAAUUGUACCACAAUUCAGCCCAAGGCAACAAUUUUAACCAUUUAAUAGGAUUCUCAUGACAAUAGGAUCUCAAGUACAUCUCCAACGUUAUGUUUACUACCUCAGUUUGACCAUUUGAUUGUGGAUGGUAUGCUGAUGAAAAAUUCAAUUUAGUGCCGCUGAGAUGGUUCAGCUCUUUCCAGAAUUUAGAAGUAAAAAUUCUGUCUCUAUCUGACACAAUAGAACUUGGAAUGCCGUGCAACUUGACUAUAUCCUUGACAAACGUUACCGCUACCAUGGAAGUAUUAAAAUUUGAUGGAAGAGGACUGAAAUGAGCGUAUUUAGAUAAUCUAUCUACUACCACUAUAACCACAGAUUUACCUUUGACUUUGGGAAGGUCAUUGAUGAAAUCCAUACUUAUAUCUUGCCAAACACUAGAAGGAAUUGGAAAAGACAUUAACAGUCCAGCAACUUUAGAAUUCAUCGGUUUAAUUUGUUGGCAGAUGAUACAUUCUCUGACAUAGAUUUUGAUGUCAACUCCCAUAUUUGGCCAAAAGAAGUAUUUUGCUACUCUUUUCCAUGUCUUGUGAACUCCAGAAUGGCCUCCUAACUGAGAGUCAUGAAAUUCAUACAUUAUUUUCUUAAUAAGUGGUGAGUGUGAGGAUAUGUAAUAUCUAUCCUUGAAAAGUAAUAUCCCAUUCCUGACCAUGAAUCCUUCUGCUCCUUUGUCCUUAUCAGCAUAAUUAGUCAUUAAUUUCUGAAUGUCCAGAUUCAUUUUGUUUUCUUCUUUGAGUUCCUCCAACAAUGAAUAUAUAGGUUUAGAGAUUGCUAGUAGUGAUCCCGAUGUUCCCACUGAAUUUGAAGAAAAUAAUACUUCUUCCUCACUUUCAAACCUUCUAGAAAGGGCAUCUGCUACUGUGUUUUCUUUCCCCGGCUUGUAUACAAUAGUAAAAUCGAAACCCAAUAAUUUGCAGAGAAAGACUUGUUGUUCUGGGGUUUGAAUAGUCUGUGUUAGUAGGUUUUUAAGACUUUUGUGAUCAGUUUUAAUCACAAAAUGGGAUCCCGAUAAAUAAUGUCGCCAUUUACUCACUGCUUGAGUAAUAGCAUACAUUUCCUUUACAUAUAUAGAUGCAGCCAUGAUCCUACCAGAUAGUUUACAACUGAAGUAACUUAUAGGGUGUGAUUUCUGACUUAGGACAGCUCCAACCCCAUUUCUACAAGCAUCUGUUUCUACUGUGAAUUCAGUGUCGAAGUCUGGAAAUAUCAGCACAGGUGCAGAAACCAUUGCAGAUUUUAAUUUUUCAAAACUUGAAGUUCAUCAUUCCAGUGGAAGUUAUCUUUCUUUAAAAGGUCUGUCAUAGGAGCAGCUAUAGAUGCAUAACCUUUGACAAAUCUUCUAUAAUACCCGGUUAAUCCCAAAAAGCCUCUUAGCAAUUUCAGUGUCUUAGGGAUAGGCCAUUCAACCAUUGCCUUAACUUUUUCCGGGUCUGGAUGAACACCGUCUACUGCAAUUAUGUGGUCCAGAAAAGUCAUGGAGUCCUUCCCAAAAGAACAUUUAGAGAGUUUAGCAAUAAGUUUGUUUGACCUGAGCAACUCAAAUACCUUUCUUAGGUGUGCAAUGUGGUCUUCUAUUGAAGCACUAUAUACCAAUAUAUCAUCAAAAAAUACCAUCACAAACUUUCUCAAAUAGUUAGAGAAAACAGAAUUCAUAAUUGAUUGGAAUGUUGCUGGUGCGUUGGUCAACCCAAAAGGCAUUACCAAGAAUUCAAAAUGCCCUUGAUGUGUUCUAAAUGCUGUUUUUUCUUUGUCAUUGGGGUUCACUCUGAUUUGAUGAAGUCCAGAUCGCAGAUCUAGCUUUGAAUAAAUUGCAGAACCCUUCAACUCUCCUAAUAACUCAUCUACAGUAGGUAUUGAGUACUUGUCUUUAAUGGUCAAUGCAUUUAAGGCUCUGUAGUCGACGCAUAGCCUAUAGUCACCAUCCUUUUUCUUAAUUAGUAGAACAGGGGAAGAGUAUGGGCUUGAGCUAGAUUUUAUGAUCCCUUGUGACAACAUUUCAGAAAUUAGUUUUUCAAUUUCAGAUUUUUGAAAUUGGGGAUAUCUAUAAGGCCUAACACUGAUUGGUUUGGCAUCUGGUUCUAAAUGUAUUGAGUGAUCUUUUUCUCUUUGAGGUGGUAAUCCAUAAGGAUCCUCAAAUAAAUCGCAGUAUUCCUGGAUCACAUCUGUAAUAUCUGGAAUUGAGGUGUCCAGUACAGCAUGGGUUUCACAAUUAUCAAUUUUAUCCAGAUAACAUAAAUAUGCUUCUUUGGUAGAGGCCAUUAGACACUUUAGCUGACCAGUAGUCACAGGCUCUUCAGAUACCCAAGGCACGCCAAUCCAUAUAAUUUUCUUCCCGGAUAAGUUGAAUUCCAUGCUAGCCUUGUCAAAAUCAAAAGUGACAGGUCCAAAGGUUUUCAAAGCCUGUACUCCUACUACCAUGUUACAACCAGACAUAUGGAUUAGAAAAAUAUCCAUGAUAAUGGUGACAUCUUGGAUUUUUAUUUCCACAUCUUUGCACAUUUUGUUGCAAGUCGAUUUCUCUCCACUACCAGUAGACACCUGGAACGGCACAAUCAUUUGAAUGGUCAAUUUUAGAGCCACUGCCACAUCCACUUGCAUAAAAUUAUGACUAGACCCAGAAUCAAUCAAUACACUAACAUAUUGGCAUUUAAUAAACCCCAUAACUCUGAUAGUACUCGAACUGAUGUUACCUUCAAAGGCAAUCCUGUCUUUCACUCCUGUCUCUUGAUACAGUAUCCACCACCAUUUCUUCAUUAUAUGCUUCUAUUUCAUGUUGUUCCUCAAGUUCCACCAAUUCAGCCUCAUCUGCAGACAAUCUGAAUAAUUUCCCUUUUCUGCCCACACAGACGCUGUUAUGAUUUGCACUAAAUUUCUCAUCACAGUUGAAGCAGUGGCCUUUGCUUCUUCUUUCAGCCCUCUAUGCAGGUGACAAUCUUUUUGUAGUCUGUACUACAUCAGAUAUAGUCUUUUGUGAAGCUGGUACCAUUGGAUUGUUACUGACAUCCACCUUGUUUUGUUGGUCGGCAGAAUUUGAGAUGAAUCUGGUUUGUUUGGGAAAAUAGAUUUUGUAAGCAGAUCUGCCCCCUUUUUUGGAUUCUAUCAUAAGAGAUAAAUCAAAAGCUUCAUGAAUAUCCGUAAGUUUCCUUAUCAUCACUUCAGAUUGUAAUUCUUCUUUCAAUCCUGAGAUAUACAUUUCUAGAAUGAAAUGUUCAGGUAAACCAAGCAUUCUAGUGCAUAAUUCCUCAAAUUGCCCUUGGUAUUCAGCCAUAGAUCCUUCUUGUGUCAAUUUGCUCAGUUUGCUCCCGGGUAGUUGGUAGUGUAGAGAUGUGAAUUUCUUUAUCACUGCAUUCACAAAAUUAGGCCAAGUGGACAGCAUGUUGCUCGCCUCGAGCCAAGCAAACCACUUCCUUGCCAAACCAUCCAUAUGAAACGAUACUAUGAGUAAUUUCUGAUCUUCAGGUACUUUAUUAAAUAUGAAAUACCUUCUUACUGCAUAUAGCCAAUGCUCAACAUCUGUGCCAUCAAAUCUAGGCAUAUUAACUCUAAUGUGCUUGGCUGGUGUAUAAGUUAGAUCCUCCAUAAUAGAAUUAGCAUAAACAGGAUUAUCUAAAUUUACCACCGAUUGACAAUAGGAUUGAAGUGACUUUAUAAUUUCUUGAGAUUCACUGCCAUGCAUGCUUGUAUUAGUUGGUUUGUCAGAACUAACCUUGGCUGUCAUUUCUGAAAUUUUUGCACUCAAAUUUGUCAUUUGCUUGCUUAUUUCCAGAAAAUUAUUAUUGACAGAAGACCUGAGUUCACCUAUGUCUUUGACUUGACUCAUUUGCAGGUUCUGUAGACGGAUAAAGUCUGGAUGGGAUUUUAAUUCUGAUGUGGUUGCCAUCUGAAGGAAAGAGUUCACUUAAGAAAGCACCAAAUGUUACAAGGUGAAAAAUUAAUUUAAUCAGAGUGAUUCAUCUUACUAACGUGGUUGCCUCAGAUCCGUGUUAGUGACGGAUAUCCGAGACAGAGAGCAACGGGGAUACACCCCUGAAAUUGAGGCUUAGCCUCCCCUCUUCACAAUUAAGUUCAGAGAAAGUAGUGCUCAAUAUGGCAAGUGGUACAGGCGCCUGCAGAUCGUCCCACAGCUCGUAGAUCGCAUCUAUUUCAGCAAUUCCGAUAACCGACGCAAGAUUUGGGGCAUAGGAUGAUGAUGAAACGUACUCGGCGUUUUGGCCGGAGGUGAUCAGUAGAGGUGUUGGAUGGAAGGUGACAAUAUUGGAGUUUAGGAAUUUGAUGCGUUUUCAUUCAUGUAAAUAAAAUUAUAUAUGUUUGGUACAAAUUGUAAAACUUAAAUUAUUUGGGGUCUCUUAUGCAAUAAUUUAAAUAAAAGAGAAUGCAAUAAGCCAACAACUUUAAUAAUUUUUUCACGACGGAUUUCAUUCAGUCGUGAAAUCCUUAAGCCAUCCCGGUUUACGGCUUGCUCUUCUCGGUCCGCGACUUGUCUCCGGUCCAGGUUCGUUCAACGGUUGCGGAUCGUCAUCUUCCUCGUCGUACCCAAUUUUAGAGAUUAACGUUUCCCUUAAUGCCUUGGCAUCACUGCUCACCGCUUGUCGGUCAAUUUCUCCAUCCGGCCACGUAACACUCUUCCACCAAAUCGGAGUUCUGAAGUCCUACCAUUUUAUGAGACAUGUGCUCUUAACAAAUCUCGUCGGCUUCCAUUCAGCCGACGUACUCAUAUGGCCAAGCAUAUAUUAUAACUUCUUCAUUUGGACAUUUGGGGUCCGGUCUCAAUUGUAUCUUCAGAAGGGUUCUGAUAUUACUUAGUCAUUGUUGAUGAUCAUAGUCGUUUUUCAUGGAUAAUUUCUCUAAAACUAAAGUCCGAUUGUUAUUUCAAAUUUUCUGCCUUUGUUGAAUCUGUUCAAAAUCUUCUUCGAUCCCGUAUCUCAUCUAUACAAUGCGACGAUGGUGGAGAAUUUAUUAGUCUAAAGUUCAAAGAAUUUCUCUCAAAUCGUGGAAUCUCUCAACGUUUUUCAGGCCCGCACACACGUGGAGUGGCAGAGUGUAAGCAUCAAACAAUCACACAAAUUGGGAGGUGUUUAUUGAAUCAGGCCAGAUUGCCAUUGAAGUACUGGUUACAUGCUUUCUCAACAACAGUUUUUAUUAGUACGUAACCAGCUAGUAUCUUUGAACACUAAUGGUAAAUCCAUAUGAUAUUAUUUUUGGAAUUAAGGAUUCCAGAUUAUUCAAUUUUGAGGACCUUUGGAUCCUUGAGUUUUCCACAUAUACCAAAAACACAAAGGAUAAAAUUUGAUUGCACAACAAGGAGGUGUUUCUUUCUUGGAUAUGCCUCUCAAUAUAAAGGAUAUAUAUGACUUGAUCUGAAAAGUGAAGCACUAAUUAUUUCUCGUGAUGUGGUAUUUGAUCCCAAAUUGAUCCCAUAAUGAUUAUUACAAUCGGGCUUCUCUAUUUUUACAAAUUGAUCCCAUAAUGAUUUGAAUUUAUCAAAGAAAAUCAAAAUAGAAUCAUUUGAUUGAUUUAGGGUAUUUACCUCAUACCUCAGUUGUUAGUUUUGGGGGUAUUUUUUUGCUUAUAUCUCUCUUGAAGAUCUGCCCAUGCUUCAUAUGCAUUUUCUGUAUGUAUAAGAGUGGUUGUUGUCUGGGGGCUUACACUGUUAAUGAUCCAUGACAAAACUAGACCAUUAAUCAUUUCCCAGUUUUCAUAAUCCACCCCUGUUUAAUCCACAAGCCUUUUAAUUCUUCCAUUAAUAAAGGCAGUCUUCUUCCUGAAAACCAAUGACAAUUUCAUUGAGUUUGCCCACGCUACAUAAUUCUCCUCGCCAGUGAGCUUAUCUGCCACCAUUUGGGCACCUGGGUGCUCUCCGGAAGUGAGAUAGUAAGGGGAUUUCCUUGAGUAUUUGCUAUUGUCUUCAUCAUUGUAUUUCUUAGAAAUUGAUCUUUUGCUUUUGGGUUGUCUUAGAAACCUGGAAUUAUUUUUAGAACUAUUUUCAGAAGAUACAUUGUUACCUUGAUUACUCGAAUUUACAAGACUUCUGUUGGUGUGAGAGUUCGUCGAAGCUAGCUCAUCGUCCAACCCAGUACAAGUCUCUCUCUCUCUCAGAAUUAUCAACCCCUACCCCAGUUGGACCAGGGGAGGUAUUUAUAGCCUUUACUUGCUGUCCUUGGGCCUCGUGGGCUCGUGCGUCGGGCCCGUCCGUCUGGGCCGACCGGGCCGGUUCGGUCCAUGGGCCGCGGUCCAUGGUACCAACAGUACUCCCCCCCUUCCUUGGCGGGCCCAGGGGCCCGGGGCCGUCCGCCCCUCUUUCGCCCCCCACCCACUUUCAUUAAUGUUCCUCGGUUCUCGGGCCAUCCUUCUUCACUUUCCUAUAAAUAAGCUGCCUGAGUCCCCUAUUUUUUGCAUCCCCUCUCCUUUCCGCUAUGAGUGCUCGAGACAUCCUUGAGGAGUAUGGUCGCGAAGUGCAGCUUCAGCAUGCCACCUGGGCCCUGUGUCUGCUGUCGCCUGCUGGUGUUCCCAAUAGUGUUGCCGUGGCCGAGACUCAGCGCCUCAAUGCCGUGUUGAUCGACGUCCACCGUCGCCUCUCCCAGAUUCGCCGCUCCGACAUUAUCGCGGAACAUCCUCCCGUCACCUACCCUGAUACCUCAGGCUCUGCUGGCACCUCGCGUGCUUUCCGCGCGCAAGGUACGAUCGUCGCCCCCGCUGCCGUCGCCGACCCCGCUCCUCUUCCAAGGCGUCGUCGGCCGCGCGGCCCUCGUCGUUCCCGCGGGUCCUCGUCCAGCAGGUGCUGCGCUAGGGCCUCUCCACUGCCCCCUCCCGGCGUCGUUGCCACAAUGGUUCGCGGGGCCUCCACGGGUGGGGCGUCGCUCCUGGGUCUCCCAUCCGGGGGGGCGGGCGGCCCGUACAUGGGAUCCCCUCCUCCGCCCCCGUCCGACUCCAGGGUGUGUGGGGUCACCGUAAGCUGGUGCACCUGCUCUUGUAGCUGACGCUGGCUCUCCUGUAGGGUGGAUAUCAGUUCCACGAGCUGCAUCCUCUCCCGCUUGCUCUCUUUUUCCGCGCGCUCUUUUUCCUCCACGCGCUCCCUUCGCCGGAGCCUCUCGUGCUCCUUUUCCCUUCUCUCCCGGGACCGCGACCGGGACCGCGUUCUCCUGACCUUGGGUGGGGACGCCGGUUCUUUGUGCCGGCGCCUUUUGGGUGACUCCCACCCGUACCUGAUCUCCUCGAGCUCCAUGCGCAGCCUAUCCUCCUCGCCGUCCCAUUCCUCGUUGGCCCUUACCUCCUCCGAAUACCGGUCGCGGGAGUGGUGUCGCGCCGGCUGGUACUCCUCCGCUGCCCGCUCGGGUCGCUUUGAGCUCUCCCCUACUUGGUAUUCGCUCCUCGUCAUCCUUCUCUCUCCGGCUGUCAUGUGCUUGUUUCACGUCAGGUUCACCACUGUUGGUGUGAGAGUUCGUCGAAGCUAGCUCACCGUCCAACCCAGUACAAGUCUCUCUCUCUCUCAGAAUUAUCAACCCCUCCCCCAGUUGGACCAGGGGAGGUAUUUAUAGCUUUCACUUGCUGUCCUUGGGCCUCGUGGGCUCGUGCGUCGGGCCCGUCCGUCCGUCUGGGCCGACCGGGCCGGUUCGGUCCAUGGGCCGCGGUCCGCGGUCCAUGGUACCAACAACUUCCUUCAUUGGAAAUCUCUUUUUCAUCAGACGAGUGGUCCAUCAUUGUGGAAGCAGGUGGGAUAUUCACAUCGUUGCUGACAUGUGAUACCAUGAUAGAAUGUGUGCGCAGAUACCUCCCGGAUGUUAAUUGAAUUUGGAGCUGACGGAAUUGGCCAGCAAUCGCACUCACGAGAAAGGGGGUGGAUUCUAGGGUUCUUAGAGCUAAUUUUUCCCCUAGAAUCCGUUGAGAAGUGUUAGGAAAGAGUUUAACUGUUUAAACUGUCUCAGAGUAAAUUGAAAUUAAUUAACUCACUGUUUACAAUCAUUUAUAUAAUACAAUCAGACUGAUCAUCAACUAAUAUAUUUAACAAUAUUUCAAUACUAACGUUUAUUAAUUCUGGCCCAUCGUGUAUCUCAACAUGAUAAUUAGCCCAAUUGCAUUAUCGAAACUUUUGCAUCUUCUCUGCCAAGCUUUCUUGAUAUUCUUUGAGCAUAACUUCUAUUGAAACUUUUGUAUUAUUAACCUCAAGCUUCUUUGUUAGUCUGGGGUUAUUUACCUGCAUAGUAUACUUAAACAGAUUAUUGGUUUUAAGUCCUGAACACAUGAUUAUAUAAUUUACAGUAAUUAUAAUAGAAUUAAAGUGGAAUUAAUUGUCUAAUUUCUUUAGAAUUCACCUUUCCAUUCUUGAGCAAAAUAAGUCUUGUAAGUCUUAUAAUGGAAUUACAGUGGAAUAUAAUGAGCAUUCUGAUAAUAUACACAACAAGGAUCCUAAAGGUAAUCUCAUGGUCCCCACAUCUGGCACACAAUCAAUAUUAUAUCCUUCCCAAAACGAUGAUACUGCUCAAUAACCAAAUCUCUCCAUAUCUUCUGAAUCAGCUGCAGUAGACCCUAUUAAAACUAUCAAAACAAAUGUGAUCAUUCAUUCCAAUUUUAGUUCAACUAAAUCAAUUAUACAAUACUUAACAUAUUUAUAUUCAUUCUAUCUUAACCAACCUAUUAGUUUGGUUAGUUUUACAAUAUAUCCCUAUAAUAACAUAUAAUUACUUAUAUGUAUUAUUUAUCUAAUAUUCCCCCUCAAAUCUAGCAUUCUGAAACUAAAUCUUUGAUUGCAGAAUCUUGAUUUGUGUAGAAUUCUCGAACUUAUAAAGUAGUCACCAAGAAUCAUCUUGUUACUCCCAUCUUGUUGUGAAUAUAGUAGAGAAGUUUAACUCCUCCUAGCUCAGAGUAAAUAGAAUGAUGGGUAGAUGAAAAAACCCGGGUGUGCUCUUUUGACAUCUUUUGAAUGUGUUUGGUCUUUUCCAUCUUUCUCCGGGAAAAACCUACCCAUCAUACCAAAUACACCAAUAUUCUCCUCAAAAAACAAAACCAAGAGAAAAGGAAAUGAUAGCAAUCCAUUGAGAGAUAGUAUCCUAUAAGAUAGUAAUCUGCAAAAACAAACAAACAAACAAACCAUGCACAUGGAUUACUAGUAUGUAGUUUAAAAAAUAUAUUGUAGAAGUAUAUGAUUGUAGAAUGGACUUAAAUUUGAGUAUAUGAUUUCUGAAAAUCCAGACUUAAUUCAAAGGCAUUCCAAUGAUCUGCAACAUAUGAAUUUCCUGCAGACAAAAUCAUAGAAAAAACACCUACAACCACCACAUCAUUCAAAAUAGAGUGUUUCAUACAACCUGCAUAUAUCUAAACAUUUCAUACACCAUACAAUUGAAUCAUUAAAUAAUUGAAGUAUUUCACGUAAUAAGCAAGUAAGGGAAGUUAAAAUGAAUUCAUUUAUUGAUUAAUAGAGGAUUGGACCAUCUUAUGUUAUACCCCAAUGACCAAUUUAUCUCUAAAUUUUGAAAAAAUUGAAGUUCCCAAAGGUUUGGUCAGAAUAUCUGCUAAUUGUUCUGUUGUUGGAAUGUAUUUAACCAAUAAUUGUUUGUCUCUAACUCUUUCUCUAACAAAAUUAAAAUCUACUCCUAUAUGCUUUGUUCUUGCGUGAUAUAGAGGAUUUGCAGAAAGAUGUAAUGCUCCCAUGUUAUCACACCAUAGUGUGGGAAUGGUUGUUACAAAACCAAGCUCUUUUAGUAGCUGUUGUACCCAGAUUAAUUCCUGAGUUGCUGUGGCCAGGCUCCUAAAUUCAGCCUCACAGCUGGAUUUGGAUACUGUUGGUUGUUUCUUUGAGUUCCAAGAGAUUAGAUUUGCUCCUAGAAAGACUAAGAAACCUCCUUGACUUUUACAAUCUAGUUUCUCUCCUGCCCAGUCACUGUCAGAAAAAACCUGAAUAUUAGAGUUCUUGAUUUCUCUAAUAGCAAGUCCGUGAUUUAAAGUUCCUGACAAGUAUCUAAAUAUUUUCUUUACCUCAAUCCAAUGAGUUUCACAAGGACUAGACAUGAACUGACAAACUUUGUUUACAGCAAAGGCAAUGUCAGGUCUUGUUAUGGCUAGAUAUUAAAGACUACCUACAACACUUCUAUAUAUUUUGGGAUAAAAAAGUUGCUCACCUAGUUCUGUAUAAAUCAAACUAUUUUUAGAGAUUGACGUUUUAGAAGGUUUGAUGGUUUCAAACCCAAACUUGAUCAGUAAGUCUUUCAUAUACUUAGUCUGGUUUAGGUGAACUCCAGAUCUAUUAUAUAUGACCUCUAUUCCUAAAAAAUAUGAAGGUCUACCCAUAUUUUUAAGCUUAAACUCGUUAUUUAGAGAACCCACCAUUUCUUCUACCUCAAUAGGAUUAGAACCAGUAAAGAUUAUAUCAUCCACAUAUAUGAGGAAGAACAUUUUACUUUUAGGUGUGACUUUAAUGAAUAAUGAUGGAUCUGAGAUAUUGUCAGUAAAACCUAGUUCAAUCAGAAAAUACCUCAGUCUUUCGAACCAAGCCCUAGGGGCUUGUUUCAGACCAUAAAGGGACUUCUUUAGGAGACAAACAUGAUCUUUUUGUUUUUGAUUGACAAAACCAGGUGGUUGUGUCAUAUAUACUAGUUCUUUUAAGUUCCCGUUUAGAAAAGCAUUGGAUAUGUCUAAUUGCUUCAUUAUCCAGUUGUUAGAUACAACUAUUGAGAAAAUUAUUUUGAUUGUUACUGGUUUCACAACAGGAGAAAAGGUCUCCUCAUAAUCUAUUCCUUCCCUCUGAUUGUAUCCUUUGGCCACUAAUCUGGUCUUGUAUCUAUCAAUAGUCCCAUCUGAUUUUUGCUUUAUUUUGAAAACCCAUUUACAUCCUAUGAUGUUCAUAUUAGGUUUUUGCUUAACUAGCUCCCAUGUUGAGGCAUUCAACAGAGCAUUUUAUUUUUCAGUCAUUGCAGUUACCCAUUUUGGGUUUGCUUUGGCUUGUGUGAAACAACUAGGUGUUUUUUCACUUAAUGAUGACAUCGAAAGAGUAUAUUUUGAAUUUGGUUUAUAAAUGUUAUUCAUACUUCUAGUUACUAUUCUAGACUCAAUAUUUCUAAUAUCACUAAAUCAGAAAUAGAUUCAUUUGUAGAUGAUAUAGUAUUCGAAGAAGGAACAGAUAUACCAGAGUUUUCAAUUGUUUGAGAAUUGUUUGGUGAUGCUUCCUCUUCCUGACCAUUACUUAAACUUCCUCUAUCCUCUUCUUGAUUUAUCUGAUCAUGAACUAUUCCUGGCCUAAUGACAAUAAGCUUAUUAAUAACAUCUGUAAAUUCAGAUUUCUCAUGCACUUGAUUUCUACUAAUCAUCAUUGCAGUUGAGAAAUCAUCCUCAUGGAAGAUCACAUCUCUAGAUAUUAUUAUUUUCCCAUUUAGAGGAUUAUAACAAAGAUAUCCUUUGUUAUUCAGGGAAUAUUCAAGAAAUACACAUUUUUCAGAUCGAAAAGAAAAUUUAUGUAAUUUGUAUGGUCUUAGAUUGGGGAAACAUGUAUAACCAAAAACUUUGAAAAUUUUAUAAUCUGGACUUUUGUUGAAUAAGGUCUCCUGAGUUGACUUAGGAGACUUAUUAGUUGGUAAAUGAUUGAUUAAAUAUACAACACUUAUAAACGCAUAAGGCCAUAGAUUCAAAGGUAGAGUAGAUUUUUCUAGUAAACCUAGACCCAUGUCCACAAUGUGUCUAUGUUUCCUUCCACUAACUCCUACUUGUUCAUGUGUGUGGGGGCAAGAAAACCUAUGAGUAAUUCCAUGUUUAAUUAAAUAUGAUUUAAAAAAGUUAUUUUUAUAUUCCCCACCAUUAUCCGUUUGUAUUGCUUUUAUUUUCAAAUCUAACUCAUUUUCAAUAUUGGUUUUAAACUUUCGAAAUUUUGAAAAUACCUCUGAUUUACAUUGAAUCGGAAAGAUCCAAGUGUAUUUGCUGAAUACAUCAACAAAGUUAACAUAAUAUCUAAAGCCUUGUGGUGAAGUGUGGGGAGAUGGUCUCCAAACAUCACUAAAAACCAAUUGUAGGGGCCUAUUAACAGAAUAAUCAUAAGAUAAAAAAGGAAGUUUAUGGCAUUUACUAAUUGAGCAAGAAAUAUAUUUAUCAAAUUUGUUGUUUAAAAUAGGCAAGUCAUAUUUAUUACAAAUUUUUCUAGUUAUGUUCUCAUUAAUAUGCCCAAAUCUAAGAUGCCAUUUAUUUAAUGAGGCCUUUUCACAAAGAAAAGCAUGAUGUGAGAUGGAUGAACCUGCACUGUGAGUAGAAAAGGAGUAUAGCCCAUCCCUAGCAUCUCCUUUAAUCAAGACUUCAUUUGUGCUUUUAUCUUUCACCACCACCUUAGAUUCAUCAAAUUCAAAGAUAUCAUUAUUAUCUUGACAAAAAUUUUGAACAGAAAUUAAGUUCUUUGAUGUAGUAGGAAUAUGUAAGAGAUUCUUUAAAAAUAAUUUUUUAUUAUUACAAUUAAAGUGAGAAGUUCUAAUGUGAAGAAUAUCCAUACCAGUACCAUUAGCAAUGGUGACCUUGUCACCUCCUUCAUAUGGAGCUGCAAAACUCAGAUUCUCAAAAUCAGAAGUAAUGUGGGUUGAAGCUGCAGAGUCAGGAAACCACAUAGUUGUAUCACUCCCCACAUCCUCUUCCUCAAAUACUAUAUGUGCUUGCUUAUUAUGACCUAUGUUGAAAGACUUAUUGAACCUGUUAUAGCAACUAGAGGCAAUGUGACCUCUCUUUUCACAGAUUUGACAUAUCAUAUAAGAGUAGGAAGUCACUUUUGAGGGCUGUUUUGGCAAGAUAAAAUUCUGAUUUUUAUUAUUAUUAGCAUAUGAGUUUUGAUUCGAAUUAUACCUCUGUCUGUUGGUAUAAUUUACUGAGAAUGAGUUUUCCACAGAAGGUGCCAUGUUCGAUGCUAGUCUUAUCUCGUGAUUGAGAAGAAUGCCUUGUAUGUCAUCUAUAGAAAAUGCUUCAUUAUUUGGUCUUGUGGUAAUUGCUGUCACCAAAGGAUCAUAAUCAGAUCCAAAUCCAUCAAGAAUAAACAGGGCCAGAUCAUUGUCAGAAACCUUAUCACCAGCAAGGGCUAAAGCAUUCGCAAUAUCUAUCAUAUUGGUAAUAUAAUCUUCCAUAGAUUUGUUGCCUUUCUUUGUUGUCUGCGAAUUCAGACGCAAUUGCAAUGUCCUCACUUGUGAAUUAGACGCAAAUACCUUGGCUAAUGUGUCCCAAAUUUGUUUGGCAGAAGUGCACGCACAUACUUUGGGAAGAACCUCUUCAGUUAUUGCAGUCAUUAGCCAUCCCAUGAGCAAAUUAUCUUACUCUUCACACUCUGCAUAUGUUAAACCUUGCAGAUUCUUCGGUAAAAUUCCUUUAGUAUUUGGCAUAGUAACUGGAAAAACUAUGGAUCCAUCCACAAAUCCUAAGAUUUUGCUUCCUUUUAAAAUCUUAAAAAUUUGGGGCCUCCAAAUAUUGUAAUUUGUUUUUGUUAAUUUCACGGUUUUAACAGUGAAAAUUGUGGCAAUUUUCAUUAGAUCAGUAGAUGCCAUGAAAAUCGAUAGAAAAUAACAAAUCAAACCAGAGAAUAAAGACCUAGCCGAUCCAGCAAAAGAAUCCUAAAAAUCAGAACAAGGAAACAAAAAGAAUCCUUAUACAUAUAAUUACUUAUAUGUAUUAUUAUUAGGUAAAUCAAAACAGAAAAUCGAUUGUGCAGCAGAUCCAGUGACGAAAUUUGAAAAACGAGACCAACAGCAGUAGCAGAAUCGUGUCGAGAGAAGGCAGCAGCAGAAUCGCGUCGAGAGACCAAAUUGUGGAGGCACCACCAGCAGCGGAAUCGAUUUGCGAUUUAAUCGUAGGAAGAUCGGUCGGCAGAAAAACGAAAUCAGUUUGCGAUUUCGUCAAAGGAGAGAAGAGAAAAAAGAACGGUGUGCGAUGUUGAUUUGGACUUUGGGGGGGAAAAAGAAUAAAAUAAGUUGGUGAUUUGGGAAAAGACAAAGCAGUAAUAAAUGGGAAAAAUGAAAUAACAAUAAUCAAUAGCAAUUGAAGGGGGAAAAAAUAAAAGAGAAGAAGAGGAAAGAAUUCAAAUCUUGAUGGCGAUGCUCAUUCGUUGCAUCCAAAAUUGAACCUGGACGUGUGUCCGACGUGGCUCUAAUACCAUAUUAAAACUAUCAAAACAAAUGUGAUCAUUCAUUCAAAUUUUAGUUCAACUAAAUCAAUUAUACAAUACUUAACAUAUUUAUAUUCAUUCUAUCUUAACCAACCUAUUAGUUUGGUUAGUUUUACAAUAUAUCCCUAUAAUAACAUAUAAUUACUUAUAUGUAUUAUUUAUCUAAUAGACCCUUCACGUCUCCAAAGCUGCACACUUGAUUCAGACUCUUCAUGUCUUUAGAACUGCACCCCAACUGUAGAUUGCAUCUCUAAAGACAUCUCUCUCUCUCUGUUCACGAUAUUCUACCUGCUCCACGUCGCUCGCAACAAAAUAUCGUUCUUCCGAAGCAUCUCUCAAAUUACGAAGUUGACACUAAAAAAAACCAGCGCAGUUCCGGCGGCAUAUUCCGGCGGCCUGGCCACCGGUAUAAUAGUUCCUGGCGGCCAAGCCGACGAUAUUCCAUCGCCGGAAGUUAUGUCGUCGGAAUUGUGAAAUACCGGCAGCUUGGCCGCCAGCAAAAAAUUGUGGAUUCCGAUUUUAACAGAAAUUGUCCCGACGGCUUAGUCGCCGGCAUUUUUUUAAAAAAAUUAUAUCCCGGCGGCCACUGGUCACUGGUCAAUAUUUUUGGAAAAUAAUUUGCCGGCGGCCUGGCCACUGGUCAAUAUUUCCCGGCAGGAAAAAAAAUUUCCCGGGAAAAAAUUUCUGGCGGCCAAGCCGCUGGUUCACUUUUGAAAAAUAAAAAAAAAUUGAAAUUAAUAAAUUAUUUAAUAUAUGAAAUUAAUAAAUUAAAUAUGAAAUUGAAAAUAAAAAUGAAAUUGAUAUUGAAAUUGAAUUUGAAGUUUAAUAUUUAAUGUAGAACAAAAAUUAACUUCGAUAAUCACUAAUUUAAUUUCUUUUUUUCGCUCUUUUUCUUUUUUUUAGUUCCGACCACCUUUCGUAAUGCCUUUUUCGUGAAUAUUAUCGAUCGUCCUCCGCGCGGUUGUGGAGUGGUGUGCUCCUCUUAUGGUGUGAACUUCCUCCACAUAAAACUCUUGGCAACGAACUAUCUUUUGUAGAGGAUGCAGUUCAAUCCGCUACUGAAUUGUUUUAGUCUAAAAUAACUGAUUGAUAAAUCAACCCCUCCACCUACGCCCUCCCUUCAAUGCCCAAUCUAUAUAGCUUGGUGGCAUAGGGACCAACUGUUGGUAGGUUGGAUUUUAUCCUCCCUGUCGGAGGAGGUGCUUCCCACAGUAUUGGGAUUGGAAUCUGCCGCCGCGAUCUGGGAUACUCUAGCAACGUCGUAUGGGCGAUCAUCGGAGUCGCGAAUCCUUCAGCUCCAGAUGCAGCUGUAAAACAACCGGCACGCGACCGGUGAGGAUGUUGUUGUCUUUCUCCGGCGAGCCAAGCUACUGGCUGACGAACUAGCAGCGGCCGGGGCAUCCGUUCCCACUCGCAUCUUCAAUGCGACUGUCUAUAACAACCUGGGACCGGACUUCGGCGAGGCGGUGACGGCAUUGGCAGUCCAGCAGUCGGUGGUGGCCUUCGACGAACUCCUGAAGAUCAUGACCAGCCACCAGAUCCGGCUGAAAAUGCGGGAAUCCAUUCCCACAUUCAACCAGACGUCGACGAACUUUGGAUCUGGAGGCGCGUUUUCGCCAGCUUCGAGUUUCGCCGGAGGCAGGGGAGGACGCGGCCGAAAUAAUUUGGGGAAGGGAAGAAAUCGUGGAAGGGUGGCGCAGGUUAGGCGAGACCCAUGCCCGGUCUGUGGGGGCAUGGGUCACAACCCGUAUAAGUGCCAAUUUAGGGUAAACCCCUACCAAAACAAUAACCCAAAUCCGGCCCACGAAAACAGUCCACAAGUUAACAAUAUUAAUUCCCCAAAUCCAUUAAUCCCUCAAAUGAUAUGGCCCAAGCCCAAUACGUUAAUUCUCCUAUGCAAUCAGCCCAAUAUUAUCCAGUCCCGGUCCAACAACAAAUUCCAGUUAUUUUAGGCAGCCGCGACAAAUAAUACUCAGGUGGCAGAUUCAUAUUUUUUAACAAGUGAUCUGGAUCAACAUGACAUGGCAGCCUGGUACCCGGAUACUGGAGCGACACACCACUUUACUCCAAACAUCCAGUCAAUCUCGUCUCCAAUGUCGUAUCAGGGACCCGGGUCUGCUCAGUUAGGUAAUGGGACCCAACAUCAGAUCCAACACUUGGGGGAUGGUAAUUUUGCAAGUGGAUCCUCUUUUUUUUCAUUACGUAACAUUCUACAUGUUCCAUCACUUAAAACUCUGUUAUUAUCCGUUCAGCAAUUUUGCAGGGAUAAUAACUGUUAUUUUGUGUUUGACUCUUUUCGUGUCUUUGUGAAGGACCGAAUUACUCACAAGGUACUCCUUCAAGGACAGCAUGAUGGAUCCCUCUACAAGAUUGUUCCGACUCCACCACCAAUUCUUUAUUCGACUCAAGCCAAUCUGGAUAUCUGGCAUCAACGGCUGGGUCACCCUAAUGAGUCGGUCCUUCGUCAUGUAGUUUCGUUAAAUCAUUUGCCUUCUGUUAUUUCCAAAUUCAAUAAAUGUAAGUCGUGUGUGUUAGGCAAGGCGAGUCGCAACUACCUUGUCUCGACUUACUCUAAAUCCAAAUAUCCGGUAGGACUCGUUCAUAGUGAUGUGUGGGGCCCUGCCCCGGUCUCUUCUUAUAAUGGACAUAGAUAUUUCGUUUUUUUUAUUGACGAUUUUUCUAGAUUCAUCUGGUUUUUCCCUAUCAAACAUAACUUUGAAGUUGCAGGCAUUUUUCAGAAAUUUCAUAUUAUGGUGGAAAAACAAAUGAGAUAUAAAAUCAAAUAUUUUCAAUCAGACUUCGGCGGUAAAUUCCAAGCUUUCACCACAUACUUCACCUCUCACGGAAUUCAUCACCGAAGGUCGUGUCCACAUACUCAUGAACAAAGUGGCACGGCAGAAAGGAAAAUCAGACAUAUAGUGGAUACUGGUCUAACACUUCUUGCUCAUGGUAGUGUUCCUUUGUCAUAUUGGAAUUUUGCCUUUUCUACAGCAGUAUAAAUCAUAUUCCAUCCAAAACUCAUGAGACCCCACCACUUCAAAAAUUAUUCAAUAUCCAACCUAAACACGCUUUUCUAAAAGUGUUCGGGUGUGAGGUCUUUCCACUUCUUAGACCUUAUAAUCAACAUAAGUUCGCUUUUCGCUCUAUAUCAUGCAUUUUCUCAGAUAUAGUCCAUCUCAUAUGGGAUAUAUUUGUCUUGAUCCACCAACUCAAAAAUCAUACAUUUCACGUCAUUGCACGUUUUUCGAAAAUUCCUUCCCAUUUGCAAAAUUACAGGUAUCCCAAGGUACGUCAACAAGUCAUCAAUCAGGCCCAUGGGAGUAAUUGCUUUCGGUUCAUUGGUCAGAUUUGGCUGCACAUAUGACUGAAAAGUUAAAUUCUUAGAAUCCUCGGUCCAAUCCAGAAUCACCUAGUUUAUCAACUCCGGUGGGGCCCACAGUAGCGGUAUAUGGUACUGAAAGUUCAAAUAAUUCACUACCAACUAGUCAAGGCUCAGAUGACCCCGCAAGUACAAUUCUCCCAACCCCUAAUAAUCGGCCCCAACGGAAUAUUCCUCGAGUUGAUUAUCGGAGACUGGCAGAAUUGGAAGCCACGUCACUUGCAAUUGAUGACUUCUAGGAACCAACUACAGUCCGACAGGCGUCCAAAUCACAUGAAUGGAUCCAGGCCAUGGAAGUUGAGUUUGGUGCACUGAUACGAAAUCACACUUGGUCCUUGGUGGACCUUCCUCGAAAUGCGAACUUAGUCACUUGUAAAUGGGUAUUCAAGGUCAAGAGAGGAUCUGAUGGCAGUUUCCAACGACGAAAGGCACGUCUAGUUGUACGUGGUUUUUCACGUCGAAGGAAUUGAUUUUAAUGAAACAUAUAAUCCGGUAGUGAAGUUUCCAACCAUCAGAAUCAUGCUAGCACUCGCAAUAUCCAAGGGUUGGCAGCUUCGUCAGCUUGAUGUCGACAACGCAUUUCUAAAUGGGGACCUCAAGGAAAUUGUGUUUAUGAUACAACCCCCAGAAUUCGUAAACAAACAUCAUCCAACCAGGAUAUGCAGACUUCACAAGUCACUCUACGAGCACCGACAAUCUCCUCGAGCAUGGUACGAACGCUUGAGUAAUUUUUUAAAAUUGAUUGGUUUUGUAAGUACCGCAUCAGAUGCAUCUCUAUUCUUGCGAGUUACGAGAAAUUCUCAGGUCUAUAUGUUGAUUUAUGUGGAUGACAUAGUGGUGACUGGGUCUUCAGCUUCAAACAUCACACAGUUGAUUGACACAUUAUCUAAGGAAUUCAGACUCAAGGAUAUGGGAAAGCUGCAGUUCUUCUUAGGAAUGGAGCUAACUCCGGUAGGUACUACUGGUAGUUACGUUCUGUCUCAACAUCAGUACAUCCGUGAUCUACUCCGCCGAACAAAUAUGCACAAGUCAAAAUCUGCGUCCACACCUAUGCCGUCUACUACAAAGUUGACUGUGACUGAUGGGGUACCCAUGGAAGAUAAGUUGUUAUAUCGCUCAACAGUAGGGGCACUGUUAUACUUGGUAAAUACUCGUCCGGAUAUAUUAUUUGUCGUAAAUAAACUGUGUCAAUAUCUCCAAAAUCCAACCACAGUUCAUUGGGCAGCGGCAAAACGAGUAUUGAGAUAUUUACAAGGUACGGUUUCAUAUGGAAUAUUACUUGCAUCAUCAGCCUCAAUCAGAAUAGAUGUAUACACCAAUGCAGAUUGGGCAGGAUGCCUAGAUGAUCGACGUAGUAUGGGAGGAUUCGCUAUAUUUAUCGGAAAUAAUCUAGUUUCUUAGUCAGCCAAGAAACAACCCACUAUUGCACGCUCUUCCACAGAAGCUGAGUUUCGCAUUAUGGCUGAUGCAGCAUCAAAAACAUUCUGGAUUCGAAAUUUACUAAGGGAAAUUCGACUAAUACCAAUCACACGAGCUUAAGUAUGGACGGAUAAUCUUGGGGCUAAAUAUCUAGCACACAAUCCUGUGUUCCACUCUCGAAUGAAACAUAUGAAAAUCAAUUUCAGGUUCAUAUGAGAAUUAGUCAGAAAUGGAGAAAUACAUGUCACUCAUAUUUCUACAAGAGAUCAGAUAGCUGAUGGCUUCACUAAGCCAUUACCUUCGUCACGAUUCCUUGAAAUAAGGUCCAAGCUCGGCGUGGUUCCUCAAACGGUGUGGUUCCUCAAACGGUGUGGUUCAUCAUUCUCCCUAGAUGCCGAUCACCAAUCCAACAUGAGGCACAUCAUUACAAAAGAAGGAGUGAAACCUGAUCCGGAGAAACUAAUGGCCGUGAGAGAUUGGCCGGUUCCCAAAUCAGUCAAACAGGUUCGGGCAUUGCUCGGGUUGACAGGGUACUACCGGCGGUUCAUAAGCCUGUAUACACAAAUCGCAAGUCCAUUAACAGAGUUAUUAAAGAAUGGUGGGUUCAUCUGGAGAGAGAUAGCCGAAGAAGCUUUUGAGUUACUAAAGGAAGCUCUAAUGUUGGCCCCAGUAUUGGCAUAUCUCAAUUUUUCACGGCCAUUCAUUGUAGAAACGGAUGCGUGUAAUGUGGGCGUCGGAGCAGUUCUAGCUCAAUUGGAGCACCCCGUCGCUUACUACAGUCGAAAGCUAUCAUCAGUCCGGCAGAAGGCAUCGACGUAUGCCAAGGAACUUUGGGCCAUUACCGAUACCGUGCGAAAAUGGCGCCAUCACUUGUUAGGAGGGACAUUCAUGAUCAGAACUGAUCACCACAGCUUGAAGAACCUACUGGAACAAACUAUCCAGACUCCGAAGCAGCAAUACUUCCUCACCAAGUUAUUGGAAUAUUCGUUCAAAAUUGUCUACCGGAGUGGCCGGUAGAACGUCAUCGCAGAUAUUCUGUCCAGAGUAAGUUGGGACCAGAACGAGGAAGAAGAGGCACAAUUUCGAUUACUAUCAUAUGCUCCCGUGCCAGAAUGGUUGAAACAAUUACAGGAGGAGAAUGAAACUAACGAAUGGAUUGUCGGAAAGCGAAAAGCGAUGUUGAAUGGAGAAGGAGACAGAGGAUUCAAUAUUAGAGACAGCUUGUUGACAUUUGAGAAACGGAUCUAUGUCGGACCAGGGUCUACCCUACGAUCGCACAUUUUGGGGGAAUGUCACGAUUCAAAAACAGGCGGGCACGUGGGCUAUUAUCGGACGCUGCAGAGGGUCCAACUGUAUUUUUUUUGGAAGGGGAUGACCAGAUUUGUACGCGAUUUCGUAGCGAACUGCGCGACCUACCAACAGAUGAAGAUUCUGAAUAAAAACCCCAGAGGCUUAUUGCAACCAUUGCCAAUUCCAGAGGCAGUGUGGGAAAGGAUAGGAUUAGAUUUCAUAACCGGACUUCCAGUGGUGAAAGGAGAUUCGGUGAUUAUGGUGGUAGUGGAUCGGUUGUCAAAGUACUGUCACCUAGGGAGUUUGCCGGCGUCAUACUCCGCGACAUCGGUAGCCGAAUUCUUUGUUAAACAGGUCAUCCGACUUCAUGGCAUCCUGCGGACGAUAGUCAGUGACCUGGAUAAGAUCUUCUUGAGUCGAUUUUGGAAGGAAUUGUUCAAGAUGAGUGGAACGAUGCUGAAAUUGUCAUCAGCGUACCAUCCGGAAACCGACGGCCAAACCGAAAAUGUGAAUAAAGUCAUAGAGUCAUAUCUACGAUCCACCGUCCAGGAGAACCCAAAGAACUGGAGAUAACUACUCCCCUGGGCCAAACUGUAGUACAAUACAUCGUACCACCACAGUUUAGGCACUUCGCCGUUCCAGAUUCUAUAUGGACGGCCACCACUAACAUUUGCGUCCUAUGUAGCAGGGGACUCGUUAGUAGAAGCAGUAGACCAGGAGCUACGGAAGAGGCAACAAGUAAUUAACGAACUCCAGGAACACCUACUAGGAGCGAGCACAACAACGAAUGAAGUACUAUGUCGAUCUUAAACGAUCGCCCCAGGAGUUCGAGGAAGGGGACUGGGUAUGGUUAUGACUCCGGCCAUAUCGUCAACAUUCAGUAGAAAGGAGAACGUGCACGAAAUUAAGCGGGCGAUACUACGAGCCAUUCCAAGUAAUAAAGAAAAAUAACAACGUAGCCUAUAGAUUAGCGUUACCGGAGGGGUGUACCAUAAUCCCAGUAUUUCACGCGUCCCUGCUCAAGGCAUUUGUGGGGAAUCUAGAAGACAGCAUUACGGCCAAACUACCAAAACUAACCGACAACGCACACCCGAUUAUAGCGCUGCAUUCAAUCGAAGGAUACCGAAUUGUAUCCAUCAGAGGGAAGAAGGUAGAACAGGUCUUUGUCAAGUGGGAAGGAUUACCAGAAGAAGAAAGAACUUGGGAACAAUUAACAACCAUAGCACGACGAUCCCAAGAGUAACCUUGAAGACAAGGUUCGGUCCGUAGGGGUUGGUGAUGUAACAGUAAUACUUAAUAAGGACCAGGUACAGAUGCAACUACGACGCGAUCUGAGAUUAGAAGACGAAAACGAUGAUGUAGAAGAAGAAGAGAACGAAUGGGUUACUGAAGACCCAGAACCAGGCCGGCCAGCCAGGCAACGUCGUUCAACCCAAAAACCAGAAUUUACUUAUGAUUAGUUUAAUACAUAAACAAGUGUAAACCAACUCAACCGAAUUCAGUUACAAUUUAGCUAUAAAUAAACAAGUUGAAGAAUGAACAGAUGAUCCAAGUUUGCAGAUACUCAACUUCUUACUCUCGGCUCCGAUCUGGAGAAAUUCUCUUCUCAUAUCCGGCCCCAAUUGGGCCGGGAAUUCUCUUCUUCUUCUCAGGCAACUCUAUCCGUCCCCUACACAGAUAUUACACAUCCUUUGACCGUUAUAAUCCGAGACAUCGAGAAAAACAACAUCACCGCAAUGCCACUGCAAAGUCUGUUCACCACCACACCGAUUGCCAUCCCCUGUGCUCUAACUCUCAACGGAAAAAUCUCCGAUGAUAGAACCCAGGAGAACAGUUAGGCAGCAAGACCCAAACCCAAUCUGUUUGCAGUUCCAACAGCAAUGAAACUCACUCCUAAAGCUCCUCAAUCCAUCACACACCAAUCUCAACGGCAAAUGCACCCAGUUCCGAUCUCGCCCACUCCACCUCUCCGCCCUCUUAAAACUCGUCUCUCUCGUGGACCGCGACCUCAUCGCUCUAGGUUCAAAGACCCGUGUUUGAAAAUAUCCAAUGACAUUACUGAAAUUUUUGAUUAAUUAUAAGGAUAAAAUGGUCCAAAAAUUAUUAGGUGGUUAGUUUUAAACUCUAAUGAAUCUUAGGUGGGUACUUUUAUAAUUAUCCCUAAAAUAAAUAGUACAUCAUAAAGUCAUAAACAUACUUUUUCCCAGAGAAAUCUGAAAUAAUUGUCAUUUCUAUGACAGAAAAUUUUAAGAGAGAGAUUGAAAGUGUUUGGACGGUUGAGUUACAAUUUGCAUUUUUUUUAUUUCAAUCGAAAACCAAGAUCACACAAGUUUUUUUUUUGACUUGCAUCUUAAAACUUUCUUCUAAAUAUUUAUAAUUUAUUUCAGGGAUCUAGAACGUGAAAUGAUAAAAAAUUGAAUUAAAAAUGUGGAGAAUUUUAACUUACAGAGUACAAACCAAGAGUUUGGAUAUUUUAACUUACAAACUCCUUCAUGGACUGAUUCUUUGGAGAUCUAGAUCUAGACAUCUCUGUCUUGUGGUAGUGGUUGGUGAGUUCUUGUUUAUUUUUUCUUCUCCUUUUAUUUUUUGUAUUUGGGGAUUUUUUUUGAAGCAGAUUUUUUUUGUUUGUCAUAUAAUCUAAAUCACAGAUCCAUUGACAUUCCUAAAAAUAAAUUUGAGAAUCUGAAGAUGAUGCGGCAUGCAGUCUGCAUUCCAUUUCCAGCACAGGGACAUUUGAAACCCAUGCUCAAACUUGCAUUGAUUCUUCACUCCAAAGGAUUCCACAUCACUUACGUUCAUUCAGAUUACAACCGCCGACGUAUUCUCAAAUCAAGAGGUCCGACCUCCCUUGAUGGGUUGCCACAUUUUCGAUACGAAACAUUCUCAGAUGGGCUUCCAUUGUCUGACGUCUUUGACUGCACCCAAGACACCCUAUCCUUGUGUCAAUCCAUUAAAGAAAAUGGUCCCCAACAUUUCCGCAACCUCAUUGCCAAACUCAACCAAACUUCUCUUUCAGAUGUUCCGCCCGUAACUUGCAUCAUCUCCGAUGGCUGUAUGGCCUUCACACUUGAUGUUGCCGAGGAGAUGGGUAUUCCUGAGUUAUUGUUUUGGACAAACAGUCCUUGUGGCGUCAGGUGUUUUCUUGAGUAUAAUCAUCUCGUAGAGAAGGGUAUUUUGUCACUCAAAGGUAUGUAUGAGUAAACAAACUAUAAAUUGAAUCAAUGAAAUGCAGAAUUACAUCGAAUUUGGUCUGCAGAUGAGAGCUAUCUUGUAGAUGGACAUCUCGAAACAACUGUAGAUUGCAUAAAUGGAAUGAGUGAUAUUCGUCUGAAGGAUAUGCCAAGUCACAUUAACAAUCCUUUUAUGGUUAAGUAUGUGAUUAGUGAGACCAAUAGAGCAUCAAAGGCCAGAUCUAUAAUUCUAAACACCUUCUACGAUCUAGAUCAUUCGAUUCUUGACUCUAUGAAGCUGUUUUUCCCUCCCAUAUACGAGAUUGGUCCCUUGGAUCUUCUUUACAAUCAGAUGAUACAAAAAGACAAGCAGAAUGAUGUUGGAUGUUCCAUGGGAUCCAAUCUUUGGAAGGAGGACUCUAAAUGUUCGGAAUGGUUGGAUACAAAACCAGUUGGGUCGAUUUUAUAUGUCAAUUUCGGAAGCGUCACAGUGAUGACAACCCAACAGAUGAUUGAGUUUGCAUGGGGACUCUGUAAUAGCAAUAAAGAAUUCCUAUGGAUCAUCAGACCUGAUGUUGUUAGAGGCGAAACUGCUGUAUUGCCAGAAGAUUUCUUGGAGAUGACAAAAGGGACAAGUAUGAUGACUAGUUGGUGCUCACAGGAAGAUGUCCUUUCACAUCCAGCCAUUGGUGGAUUUCUAACUCAUUGUGGUUGG